UACGUAGGGUGCAAGCGUUGUCCGGAAUUAUUGGGCGUAAAGAGCUUGUAGGCGGUUUGUCGCGUCUGCUGUGAAAUUUCGGGGCUCAACCCCGAACUUGCAGUGGGUACGGGCAGACUAGAGUGUGGUAGGGGAGACUGGAAUUCCUGGUGUAGCGGUGAAAUGUGUAGAGAUCGGGAGGAACACCGGUGGCGAAGGCGGGUCUCUGGGCAAUUCCUGACGCUGAGGCGCGAAAGCGUGGGGAGCAAACGGG
rnacentral:rRNA from 1 species